rnacentral:rRNA from 1 species
CCUACGGGAGGCAGCAGUGGGGAAUAUUGGACAAUGGGCGCAAGCCUGAUCCAGCCAUGCCGCGUGUGUGAAGAAGGCCUUCGGGUUGUAAAGCACUUUUAUCCGGAAAGAAAAGCUUUGGGUUAAUACCCUGAAGUCAUGACGGUACCGGAAGAAUAAGCACCGGCUAACUUCGUACCAGCAGCCGCGGUAAUACGAAGGGUGCAAGCGUUACUCGGAAUUACUGGGCGUAAAGCGUGCGUAGGUGGUUUGUUAAGUCUGAUGUGAAAGCCCUAGGCUCAACCUGGGAAUUGCAUUGGAUACUGGCAGGCUAGAGUGCGGUAGAGGAUAGUGGAAUUCCCGGUGUAGCAGUGAAAUGCGUAGAGAUCGGGAGGAACAUCUGUGGCGAAGGCGACUAUCUGGGCCAGCACUGACACUGAGGCACGAAAGCGUGGGGAGCAAACAGGAUUAGAUACCCUGGUAGUCCACGCCCUAAACGAUGCGAACUGGAUGUUGGGUGCAACUAGGCACUCAGUAUCGAAGCUAACGCGUUAAGUUCGCCGCCUGGGGAGUACGGUCGCAAGACNGAAACUCAAAGGAUUGACGGCGNGAGAGAGACGACGACGACGACGAGGGAGGAGG